UACAUAAUAUAUAUAGCAAAUUUACCUGACCAUAUCGGGAAAUAGGUAUUUAGUCGGAUCUUAACACGUACUUGUGAUUUGUUAAAACCGGUUUUGAUAUAAAAUAAACGAAGAAAUGUCGAAAUGUUCAGGACUUAAUUAAAUCCGUAUUUCGGUAAGAUGGUGCAAGCAUACGAUUUUUAUUGCGUCUUACACUUUGGGAAGCGA
rnacentral:lncRNA from 1 species